AUCUCAUGAUUCUUCCGUGGCGACACUUAUGGAAGCCUUUGCAGCCCCGCAAGGGGUGGGGAGCACGACUGUAAAUAAGUCUCCCUUCAUGCAAGUCAGCACCCGCUGGCAACACGAUCGAAUUGACGGGGACGUCCUAAAGCCUACAACACCAACCUACCCGGGAAACCGAGGUAGGGGCCCGUGCUAACUACACGGGGUGGUAAAAGAAUGUAUGGAUACUCCCUCCGGGGAACUAUGGAUAAUCCGCAGCGAAGACCCUAAGUAGCGCUAGCUAUAUGGGUAACGUUCACAGACUAAGUGGUUGUGGGUGGAGCCUAGCUCUGCUUAAGAUAUAGUCGGGCCCUGCGUGAAAGCGCAGGGGUGAGUCGCUACGAACUCGAACCGUUCCGUAGGUGAACCUGCGGAAGGAUCAUU
rnacentral:ncRNA from 1 species